rnacentral:rRNA from 1 species
UGUGUGUUAGUGGAAGCGUCUGGAAAGGCGCGCGAUACAGGGUGACAGCCCCGUACACAAAAAUGCACAUGCUGUGAGCUCGAUGAGUAGGGCGGGACACGUGGUAUCCUGUCUGAAUAUGGGGGGACCAUCCUCCAAGGCUAAAUACUCCUGACUGACCGAUAGUGAACCAGUACCGUGAGGGAAAGGCGAAAAGAACCCCGGCGAGGGGAGUGAAAAAGAACCUGAAACCGUGUACGUACAAGCAGUGGGAGCACGCUUAGGCGUGUGACUGCGUACCUUUUGUAUAAUGGGUCAGCGACUUAUAUUCUGUAGCAAGGUUAACCGAAUAGGGGAGCCGAAGGGAAACCGAGUCUUAACUGGGCGUUAAGUUGCAGGGUAUAGACCCGAAACCCGGUGAU